GACGAACGCUGGCGGCGUGCUUAACACAUGCAAGUCGAACGGUAAGGCCCUUCGGGGUACACGAGUGGCGAACGGGUGAGUAACACGUGGGUGAUCUGCCCUGCACUUCGGGAUAAGCCUGGGAAACUGGGUCUAAUACCGGAUAGGACCCUGGGAUGCAUGUCCUGGGGUGGAAAGCUUUUGCGGUGUGGGAUGGGCCCGCGGCCUAUCAGCUUGUUGGUGGGGUGAUGGCCUACCAAGGCGACGACGGGUAGCCGUCCUGAGAGGGGGCCCAGGCACCCGGGGACAGAGAUACGGCCCAUACGCCUACGGGAGGAAGCAGUGGGGAAUAUUGCGCAAUGGGCGCAAGCCUGAUGCAGCGACGCCGCGUGAGGGAUGACGGCCUUCGGGUUGUAAACCUCUUUCAGCACCGACGAAGCGCAAGUGACGGUAGGUGCAGAAGAAGGACCGGCCAACUACGUGCCAGCAGCCGCCGUAA
rnacentral:rRNA from 1 species